CUCCGGUUGAUCCCGCCGGACCCGACUGCUAUCAGAGUGGGACUAAGCCAUGCGAGUCAACAUAGCAAUAUGUGGCAUACGGCUCAGUAACACGUAGUCAACAUGCCCAGGGGACGUGGAUAACCUCGGGAAACUGAGGAUAAACCGCGAUAAGUCACUACUUCUGGAAUGGGUAAUGACUCAAAUCUACAUGGCCCCUGGAUUGGACUGCGGCCGAUCAGGCUGUUGGUGAGGUAAUGGCCCACCAAACCUGUAACCGGUACGGGCUCUGAGAGGAGGAGCCCGGAGAUGGGCACUGAGACAAGGGCCCAGGCCCUAUGGGGCGCAGCAGGCGCGAAACCUCUGCAAUAGGCGAAAGCCUGACAGGGUUACUCUGAGUGAUUUCCGUUAAGGAGAUCUUUUGGCACCUCUAAAAAUGGUGCAGAAUAAGGGGUGGGCAAGUCUGGUGUCAGCCGCCGCGGUAAUACCAGCACCCCGAGUGGUCGGGACGAUUAUUGGGCCUAAAGCAUCCGUAGCCGGUUCUGCAAGUCCCCCGUUAAAUCCAGCUGCUCAACAGAUGGGCCGCGGAGGAUACUACAGAGCUAGGAGGCGGGAGAGGCAAGCGGUACUCGAUGGGUAGGGGUAAAAUCCGUUGAUCCAUUGAAGACCACCAGUGGCGAAGGCGGCUUGCCAGAACGCGCUCGACGGUGAGGGAUGAAAGCUGGGGGAGCAAACCGGAUUAGAUACCCGGGUAGUCCCAGCUGUAAACGAUGCAGACUCGGUGAUGAGUUGGCUUAUUGCUAACUCAGUGCCGCAGGGAAGCCGUUAAGUUUGCCGCCUGGGGAGUACGGUCGCAAGACUGAAACUUAAAGGAAUGGCGGGGGAGCA
rnacentral:rRNA from 1 species